rnacentral:lncRNA from 12 species
CUUAAUCUUGCCCCUCUGCUAUUCGUUGUCCAGAUGAGCUUUUUAAAUGAAGCUGCUAUAGAUCCUUCUCCACAACACUAGAGGUUUCCUCCAGAUUGGCCAUUUGUGUUACUGACAGCAUCCCUGGUCCUGAAGCAGAAGAGAAUACCAUGCAGUUGAAAUGAUGUGAGAAGCAGAAAGCAGAAAUGGAUCAAGAGAUUUAGGAUGAUUAUUUCAAGGGACAAAAUCAUAAUGAGUUUAGUAUGUAACCCAAAUCCUGGAUUGCUAUAUAAUAGUUAUUGGUUGUGA